AACGGCCAUACCAUGCUGAAUAUACGGUUCUCGUGAGAUCACCGAAGUCAAGCAUCAUUGGGCGCGGUCAGUACUUGGAUGGUAGGCCACCUGGGAACACCGCGUGCCGUU